CUCGGUCGGUUUUCACAGGCUCACCGACUAGAACCAACCGAUUGUUUUUUCGGGUUCAAAAUCAAACCCAGUUGGUUUUUCCAAAGGCUCACCAAUCACAACCUUACAACGAUUGUUUUCCGGGUUCACAAUCAACCCAGUUGGUUUUUCCAAAGGCUCUCCAACCACAACCUUACAACGUUGGUUUUCCCUUUGGCUCACCAACAAACCUUAACCCCUUGAUUCAAUCCCUUGAUUGAAUCAAGUUACAAGAUAUUAGAAUAAGAGUUUAAAUCAAAUACAA
rnacentral:lncRNA from 1 species